GAUCCAUUGUGGUGUUCGCGAGGUUCAACCAGGGUAUUCGGAAAGUCAAAUCGCGAUCUGGAGUAUGUUAUUUUUUACAUUAAAAUUUCUGUGACGUCAAAAUACCUGACUCUUCCACAGUCCCUCGUUAUAUUUUAGUACGGGAGAAUAUGCCCGUUCGCGGGUUAGGCGUUGACAGCACACGUCGGAAAUGCGAGGGACUGUGGAAUCGUGUGUCGAAAAGUUGGCAGAAUAGUCGAAAACUCGGCAAUCGGGCAAAAUUGACAUUUUUCUCAAAUAUGAAUGAAUUUUUGGACGAAAGCGGGACGAUGCAGGCUUUAGAAAACUCUUGGAUGGAUUUAGUGUGACCCUAACCCCGAAUUAGAUGUCUAAAUGGAAAAUUUAUCUCUUUCUGACGUAAAUUACGGUGAGUGCUGAUAGCUUGUUUAUAAUAUGAAAGCCUCGAUGAAAGCCAUAUGUUGGCGGAUGUGCCAUGGAUUAUAUCCUUAUGUGUAUCUUAAAAAUAUGAAUAAUUAGCGACUAGGUAUAUGAUAAUUGUAGUUGAUCAAGUAGUAAUUUUGCACACACUUUUUUAGAUAUAGAUGACAUAAAAAAUUUGCUUUCAAACUUGGAAGUCUCUGUUUUGGUCCUCAAUGAAAUAUGGGAAACUAUCCUAUCCACAUAUAAAUAUGCCUGUGGCGAUAUAUCUGGUAUUAAAGCUAGCUGAGUAUAUACAUCGUAAUUGGUAACUUGAUGGCUGUUGCUUUCGUGUAUUAAUGGCUGGGUGUCUUGUUCAACUGGUACACUUUGGAAGUACUACAUGUUUAUAGAAAAAUAAAAUUAUAUUUAAUAAAUAUUUAUUCAGUUUCUAACACAUAAAUAAAAUAUAAUACAAUGGUAGGUUAAAAAAAUGCUGUAUAUAUUGUUGCAAACUAAAUAAAUCAAUCUAUUAUAGAGCUACACCAGAUUCUUGCUGUUAAAUGUUAUACUUUCUUUAAUUAUGUCAUUGGCAUUAAUUGCAACAAAUACCAACAAUGCAAAAACAAGAUACAAAUUGUGCAUUGACCAGUAUUUAAACAGUGUACUGCAUUGACUAAUAAAAAAAGUUAUUUGAUAAACUUAUCUGGUAGUAGUUUACUCUGUCUAACAUAGUUCGGAAAGGGUCUGUAUUAUAUCUCCUAUUUUAUAAAUAUUCCCCCUAUUACAGACUGCUAAUAACCUCUUUCAGAGAGCAAAAUUUGACAUUUGGACUUGUAGUUUAAUUAAUUAAAAACCACUUGUUCUGUAAUUUCUACGAUGGUUUUCUUAUCACGCCCCUCUUUAAUUAACACAUCCUCUUUUAGUAACCUCCCCCCCCUCCCCAUAACAAAACAUAACAUUUUUUCAUGGUUUAUCCUCUUGAAGCAAGGAGGUUUUAAACUAUGUCUAAUCAAGGAUGGAUCCAGCAUGAUCU